UUAUGAUAUUUAUAGAGCGCCGUCAAAUUCCGCAGCGCUUUACAAUGGGUGGAUGAACAGACAUGUAGUUGUAACCAGACAAGUUGGACACACAGGACCAGAGGGGUUGAGGGCCCUGCUCAAUGAGCUUACAUGCUAGAGGGAGUGGGGUAAAAUGACACAAAAAGGUAAGGAUAGUAUUAGACUAGUGACAGUUGCAGAAGAGGAAUCAGUCAGGAGCUAUUAACAGUUUAAUUGAUACGCUUUUAUGGAGAAGUGGGUUUUUAACAAUUUUUUGAAGGAGUGGAGACUGGGUGAGCAUCUAACGGAGGAGGGAAGUGAGUUCCACAGGAACUGUGAAGCCCUGGAAAAGUCUUGAAGGCGAGCAGUGUGUGUGUUAGUGUGUGUGUGUGUUAGUGUGUGUGUGUUAGUGUUAGAGUGUGUGUGUGAGUUAGUGUGUGAGUGUGUGUUAGUGUGUGAGUGUGAGUUAGUGUGUGUGUGUUAGUGUGUGUGUGUGUGUUAGUGUGUGUGUGUUAGAGUGUGUGUGUUAGUGUUAG